rnacentral:lncRNA from 1 species
UUGGAUCAUAUAAGUCUAAACACUUUUGUUCGUUUUCAAUACAAAGACAGCAGAAUGUACUAUUCUUACAACAAUCCAUGCCUACUAACCAUGAUUCGGCGACGCAUGUCAAGGAAUAAUAAUUCUCCAGUUCAUUCAUCGGUUCAUAUUGAUUGAUUUACACGGUAGUAUAAGAAGAAUUGCCCUUCAUCAGUAUAUAUAGUAAGCCCGGCCUGCAGCGAUCGACACGAGCUAGAGAUGAU